rnacentral:tRNA from 1 species
GCCUGAUUAGCUCAGCGGUUAAGAGCAUUCGCCUUACACGCGAGGGGUCGUAGGUUCGAAUCCUACAUUGGGCA